GCUCGACCUCCAUGGCCAUCAGAGGCGUCGAUUUCAAGUGUUCAGUACCUUUCUUCUUGCUCCGCCUAGGUUUACUGUGCCAGGUUUCUGAUUUUGAAUUGUGAUAUUUUUUGCUUUGCAAGGUACGAUGGAUUCUUCUUGUCGAUGAAUUAUGAAAAUUUAGUUUUGGUUUCUUCAAUUUCUUCUUGAAGAUGAUUGAAAAGUUGCAAUUUUACUAUUGUACUUUAUUGCUUUACAAUUGGGAUUGAUUUGGCUCGGUAGUUCUUUAAUGAUUGGGACUCCUUUUCAUGUGCUUAUUGUUUUCCUUAUGGCAAAGUUUGAAAUUUUUUUGGAAUAAAAUUAGGUUAUUUUCUUCAAAGUAUUUGUGUCUUGUUCUAGAUACUGAGAAAGUUGGAAAUAUUUACGACUGAACUUGUUGAUUGUUCUUCAGUGGGACUCUUGCAUCUUCUAUUUUUGGUGGUUCUUUCUUUGUCCAACUUAUGAUGUGUUCCUGUAUUCAGUGUUGGCAAUUGUGGUUUUUAUGUUAUAAUAAAUUUGGUACAGUUUUGAAUAGUUUUUAUCAUAAAACAAUCUGCUAUCUGGCAAUUGUGUCUGUUUUGUAUAUAUCUUUCUACCCGACCUGAUGACACUAAGGAAAUUAAAGCAAGACUUACUACCUGGCCUAAUGACACUGAGGAAAAAGUAAAUUGGCAUCUUACAUUUUACUCUCAUGUUCUUUAUACAAGUUAUCUUAGGUUGUUCCCUAAACUAGACUCCAUUUUGUCUCAAGUGCUGAAUGAUAAAGAAAAGAAGAGGAAAUUAGGUAAGCCUCUUCUGGAUCUAAGUACUUUAUGAGUUUUCCCUAAACUAGAUGAUUAAUAUUCUAGAGGGAUGGUGUUAAACCUUGCUAUGAGGUAUUAUAUCUGGAGAUGAGUUGUUCUCAUAUACCAAUGCAACUUUUUUUUCUCUGUCUCUCUUGAAGGAGAUUGUUGAUUGGUUUCUGGUGACUAUUUUUGAAGAGAACCAUAAUCUAGUAUCACUCAAAUUUGAAAACUUACUUUAAUUUGGCUAUUUGUUUUGUUUCAGGGAGUAGCUUAAGUCAGUCAUCUUCCAUCCAGGUAAAUUUUGGCUAUACUGUGCAAUUUUCCAUGGUUUUCGAUGUCCAGAUUAUAUUCAACUUUUUGAUCAAUAGUUUUUGUAUCUCCUUUUAUAUUUUGCUUUUGCAAAUUGACAGGAUAACUGGAGGGGAAUUCCUACUAAAUUGAAUAGCAUCCCACACUCUAGAGACAUCAGGAACUAUUUUUAUGAUGAUGUACUGCAAGCCACCAAAAGAUCUAUAAAUGAUGGAGGAAUUCGAUUAAAGGUGGAAAUUAAUAUUCCAGAGCUGAACCCAGAAAUGGAUGUUUAUCGAAUAGGUACCUUAAUGGAACUUGUUCGAACUCUAGCUCUUUCAUUUGCUGAUGAUGGGAAAUCUGUCAAGGCAAUAGAGUUGGUGCUCCAUGGCAGGCAACAUGAUCUCAUCAAGCUUGGCACUCAAAAGGGUGGGAUAUGCAAAAAAUAUGGGAUCAACAAGGCUCUAUGAUGUAUGACUUCUUUAUAGAAAAUGGUUGGCAUGUGGCACCAUAUCAAGCUAUAAUCAGAUCCUUCAAAUACUUAUGUAAUCAAUUUGUAGACAAUUCUAAUCUAGCUAGCAUGCUCUAUAUUUGAAAACUAGUUAUACUAUGAUUUUGUAAUAUGAAGUUAU